UACGUAGGGGGCGAGCGUUGUCCGGAGUUACUGGGCGUAAAGGGCGCGCAGGCGGUCUGGCAAGUUUGGAGUGACAGUGCUCGGCUUAACUGAGCAAGGCCUUCGAAAACUGCUAGACUUGAGCACUCAAGAGGGACAUAGAAUUCCGGGUGGAGUGGUGAAAUGCGUAGAAUGAUCCGGACGGGAAAGAUUACCCAAAAGGGGCGAAAGGGCCUAGUGUCCUGGGGAGUGUCUGACGCUCAGGCGCGAAAGCUAGGGGGAGCGAACAGG
rnacentral:rRNA from 1 species